CAUAGGAGUGGUGGGUGACAUUCUGUGGCCUGCGCUGUGCAGGAGGUCGGACUAGAUGAUCAGAGUGGUCCCUUCUGACCUUAGUAUCUAUGAAUCUAUGAAUCUAUGAAUGCACCGGUAGUAUUUUGCAAUAAGUGACUUGCAGCAAUAAAGCAAGAGUAGUCAAAGGAAAUAAGAAAAUGGCAUAUAACCUAGGCCCUCGUUAGACGCUGGUUAGGCCACCUCCCUAAGAAGAGCAUGACAAACCCUGUCCAGGGAGAGGGCUAAGCCUUCUGGAGACAGAUGAAAGGACCAAGAAACAGGUUCCAGACCCAGGUGGGUUUUCUAGUGAGGCGUGAGAGCAACAGAGGCAGCAGCAGGAUGUCCCCAAGAGCCAGUUCCCCUCCAGCAGGGUGCCCUCAUGAUUCAGGUCCCCUUUGAUAGAUUAGAAGCGGUGGGAGCUGCAGCUGAAGGCGAAGGAGCUAGCAGAGCAUGAGGAGAAGCAGGAAAAGCAUGAACUACAGCUAGAGAAGUGGAGGGGCAAGAGGACCCACAGAGGGGAAAGUGGGGAAAGACCCUGGGAUGCCAAGUCCACAGGGAGCCUAGAUCCUAAAUGGUUGCUCCAGAUAAGGAGGGGGGAUAUGGAUGCCUACCUCAUAGCCUUUGAGAAGGCAUGUGAUUUGAACCUGGUUGAUCCUGCAAACAACUACACAGUCUCACUCCCGUACUUGGCCCUAGAGGUACAAAGGCAUACAGCCGAAUGGAUGGAGUUGAUAGUGGUGGCUAUGAAUGGUUCAAAAAGGCUUUACUGAUUAAGUAUGAUUUGGCACCUGGGGUUAUAAGAAAAGGUCUUGGGGUGUGCAGAAGACCCAGGUUGUGACAUAUAUAGAAGCCACCAUCCUGAUGGGAGAGUAUCUCCACAAAUGAGGUAAGGGUGCAGGUGUCACUAUACUGGAGAAUUUGUACAAUCUGGUUGGUUUGGAACAACUCUAUGAGCUCUGUCCCCACUAGCUUAAAAGAUGGUUAGUGGACAAGAAGCCUCAGGCUCUGCGUAGUGCAAGCAGGUUGGCAGAAGAGUUUGUGGACAGUCACUUUGUGUAUCGAGAGAGACUCAAAGGGGACUGGGGAAAGGGAACCAAUGGAGGCAACCCAGAAGUGAGACUCAGAUAAACCCAAAGUGGGGAGAGCGGCUGAUACGGGUAGACCUCAUCCAAGGGAUCUCAAAGACCUGAUGUAAUAUCUGCAAAAAAACAGAGCAUAAGUGGGCAAAAUGCUCAAAGGAUUAACUUGGUGAAAGCCCAGCCAGAGGGAAUGCCACCUCCUUGUGCCUAUGAGGCCUACAGGCAACCUGUAGCUCAACCUCAGAGCGUGAAUUUUGUGACUGAACAUUUGGAGGAAAGCAGACACCCAGCCCACUCCUAGGGACAGUGAUGGAUGGGCUCCCAGUCAAGGCACCGAUAUACAUGUGCUAUUGUACUCUCUUGGGCUCACACACACCUGACCUCUAGUGGGAGCUGAAGGGGUGGAUAAUGGGAAAAUAUUCAGGGUUGGAAAGAUUCUGGGACAGAGAGACCCCUUGUCACAUCCUGUGUGGUGCAACCGCAUCAAGUGCUAGCUUGAAGGGCUGUGUAACAUGCUUCUUGGUGCCGAGGGGAACUCUCGUGUCAGGACUCCACCCCUGCAGCUCCGGGCUGAGCGCUGCACAGGUCUCUAGGAACCUACACUUCAACCUCCUCACGUUCAGUUCCCACUGCCGUUCCUCCCAGCUCUGCAGCACGCUCCUGCCCCACCAGCCCAUGCUAGUCGGCCAAGCCCAGAAAUGGCACUCCACCCAGGGAAGCCACUCCAGGAAAAUAUCAUGCAGAGUCACCCUAAGAAGAGGAGCUCCCAAAGGGUGCUGAUGAAAAUGUGCACAGGUAGGAGAAACACCAAAACAAAACCAAGACCUGUUGUUUGAAAACACAAGAACAUAAGAACGUAAGAAUGGCCAUAUUGGGUCAGACCAAAGGUCCAUCCAGCCCAGCAUCCUGUCUGCCGACAGUGGCCAGUGCCAGCUGCCCCAGAGGGAGUGAACCUAACAGAUGAGAGGACAACAAGGCAAAGGAGAAAGCGACAACACUCAAGGCAGCUGAAUGAAGAAGAGAAAAUUACUCUUGCCUUUGUUGAAAGCAACCUGAGCAGAAAGAGUAGGUGAAAGACAGACUGCAAGGGAUAGAGAAGAGUUGGGAAAGGCCAUGUGGUCCCAAUACAACAGUAUCUUUGAUCCUAUAUGAAAUGUAUAAAUUUUCAAUUCAUGUA